AUUGAACGCUGGCGGCAUGCUUUACACAUGCAGGUCGAGCGGCAGCGCGGGCUUCGGCCUGGCGGCGAGUGGCGAACGGGUGAGUAAUACAUCGGAACGUGCCCAGUAGUGGGGGAUAGCUCGGCGAAAGCCGGAUUAAUACCGCAUACGACCUGAGGGUGAAAGCGGGGGAUCUUCGGACCUCGCGCUAUUGGAGCGGCCGAUGGCAGAUUAGCUAGUUGGUGGGGUAAAGGCCUACCAAGGCGACGAUCUGUAGCUGGUCUGAGAGGACGACCAGCCACACUGGGACUGGGACACGGCCCAGACUCCUACGGGAGGCAGCAGUGGGGAAUUUUGGACAAUGGGCGAAAGCCUGAUCCAGCAAUGCCGCGUGUGUGAUGAAGGCCUUCGGGUUGUAAAGCACUUUUGGCGGGAACGAAAAGGACUGUGCCAAUACCACGGUUCGAUGACGGUACCCGCAGAAUAAGCACCGGCUAACUACGUG
rnacentral:rRNA from 1 species